UGUCUCUUUGUACUUGAA
rnacentral:snRNA from 1 species